UGCAGUCGAACGCCGUAGCAAUACGGAGUGGCAGACGGGUGAGUAACACGUGGGAACGUGCCCUUUGGUUCGGAACAACUCCGGGAAACUGGAGCUAAUACCGGAUAAGCCCUAACGGGGAAAGAUUUAUCGCCGAAGGAUCGGCCCGCGUCUGAUUAGCUAGUUGGCGGGGUAAUGGCCCACCAAGGCGACGAUCAGUAGCUGGUCUGAGAGGAUGAUCAGCCACAUUGGGACUGAGACACGGCCCAAACUCCUACGGGAGGCAGCAGUGGGGAAUAUUGGACAAUGGGCGAAAGCCUGAUCCAGCCAUGCCGCGUGAGUGAUGAAGGCCUUAGGGUUGUAAAGCUCUUUCGCACGCGACGAUAAUGACGGUAGCGUGAUAAGAAGCCCCGGCUAACUUCGUGCCAGCAGCCGCGGUAAUACGAAGGGGGCUAGCGUUGUUCGGAAUCACUGGGCGUAAAGCGCAUGCAGGCGGAUCGUUAAGUCGGGGGUGAAAUCCCGAGGCUCAACCUCGGAACUGCCUUCGAUACUGGCGAUCUUGAGUCCGGGAGAGGUGAGUGGAACUGCGAGUGUAGAGGUGAAAUUCGUAGAUAUUCGCAAGAACACCAGUGGCGAAGGCGGCUCACUGGCCCGGUACUGACGCUCAGGUGCGAAAGCGUGGGGAGCAAACAGGAUUAGAUACCCUGGUAGUCCACGCCGUAAACGAUGAAUGCUAGCCGUCGGACAGCAUGCUGUUCGGUGGCGCAGCUAACGCAAUAAGCAUUCCGCCUGGGGAGUACGAUCGCAAGAUUAAAACUCAAAGGAAUUGACGGGGGGCCCGCACAAGCGGUGGAGCAUGUG
rnacentral:rRNA from 1 species